AUUUACAGGCUUAACACAUGCAAGUCGAGGGGCAUCAGGAAGAAAGCUUGCUUUCUUUGCUGGCGACCGGCGCACGGGUGAGUAACACGUAUCCAACCUGCCCUUUACUCGGGGAUAGCCUUUCGAAAGAAAGAUUAAUACCCGAUAGCAUAAUGAUUCCGCAUGGUUUCAUUAUUAAAGGAUUCCGGUAAAGGAUGGGGAUGCGUUCCAUUAGGUUGUUGGUGAGGUAACGGCCCACCAAGCCUUCGAUGGAUAGGGGUUCUGAGAGGAAGGUCCCCCACAUUGGAACUGAGACACGGUCCAAACUCCUACGGGAGGCAGCAGUGAGGAAUAUUGGUCAAUGGGCGCUAGCCUGAACCAGCCAAGUAGCGUGAAGGAUGAAGGCUCUAUGGGUCGUAAACUUCUUUUAUAUAAGAAUAAAGUGCAGUAUGUAUACUGUUUUGUAUGUAUUAUAUGAAUAAGGAUCGGCUAACUCCGUGCCAGCAGCCGCGGUAAUACGGAGGAUCCGAGCGUUAUCCGGAUUUAUUGGGUUUAAAGGGAGCGUAGGUGGACUGGUAAGUCAGUUGUGAAAGUUUGCGGCUCAACCGUAAAAUUGCAGUUGAUACUGUCAGUCUUGAGUACAGUAGAGGUGGGCGGAAUUCGUGGUGUAGCGGUGAAAUGCUUAGAUAUCACGAAGAACUCCGAUUGCGAAGGCAGCUCACUGGACUGCAACUGACACUGAUGCUCGAAAGUGUGGGUAUCAAACAGGAUUAGAUACCCUGGUAGUCCACACAGUAAACGAUGAAUACUCGCUGUUUGCGAUAUACAGUAAGCGGCCAAGCGAAAGCAUUAAGUAUUCCACCUGGGGAGUACGCCGGCAACGGUGAAACUCAAAGGAAUUGACGGGGGCCCGCACAAGCGGAGGAACAUGUGGUUUAAUUCGAUGAUACGCGAGGAACCUUACCCGGGCUUAAAUUGCAGUGGAAUGAUGUGGAAACAUGUCAGUGAGCAAUCACCGCUGUGAAGGUGCUGCAUGGUUGUCGUCAGCUCGUGCCGUGAGGUGUCGGCUUAAGUGCCAUAACGAGCGCAACCCUUAUCUUUAGUUACUAACAGGUUAUGCUGAGGACUCUAGAGAGACUGCCGUCGUAAGAUGUGAGGAAGGUGGGGAUGACGUCAAAUCAGCACGGCCCUUACGUCCGGGGCUACACACGUGUUACAAUGGGGGGUACAGAAGGCAGCUAGCGGGUGACCGUAUGCUAAUCCCAAAAUCCUCUCUCAGUUCGGAUCGAAGUCUGCAACCCGACUUCGUGAAGCUGGAUUCGCUAGUAAUCGCGCAUCAGCCACGGCGCGGUGAAUACGUUCCCGGGCCUUGUACACACCGCCCGUCAAGCCAUGGGAGCCGGGGGUACCUGAAGUACGUAACCGCAAGGAUCGUCCUAGGGUAAAACUGGUGACUGG
rnacentral:rRNA from 1 species